GAUGAUCCAUGGAAUACCUUCUUAUUGUAUGUCCACUUAUCUUGUUCCUAAGUCGAUUUGUGAUGAAAUGAACAAGAUCACUAGAAAGUUAUGGUGGUUGGGCAAUUUGGAUAAGUCUAGAUUUCUUGCUCUUGCCAGUUGGGAUUCUAUUUGCAAACCUAAAGGUUGCAUAGGGUUGGGAUUUGCGGAUACUAAUUUUGCUUUUGUAUCUAAGCUUGGUUGGACAUUGUUUUCGGGUCAUGAUACUUGUUGGGCUAAUGCUCUUAGGAGGAAGUAUUGUAAAGAUGAAGACCCAUGGGUUGCUAAAUUGCCUUCGAAUGCUUCUUUUUUGGUUAAAGGCAUUUGGGGUACCAGAGAGUUCAUUAGGAAGAAUUCGAGUUUUCUCAUAGGAAAUGGUUUUUUAUCAGCUUCUAUUACCAAUUCCCCUUGGAUGAGCUGUUUAGAUUGGGAAGAUUAUGGGGCUGCCUUCAAUCCUUGUGUUGGUAACAAUUUGAGAGUGCUUCUCUCCUUAAUCCUUAUGAUGGGAGUUGGAACUUGGAGGCUCUCAAAAUUUGGCUUAUUCCUCAUGUUGCUAAACAGGUGUUUAACUCUCCAAAGUUGGAUGCUUCUAUGAUGGACAAACUUGUUUGGAGGGAUGCAGCUAAUGGAGAGUUUUCUGUCAAGAUGGCUUACAGAAAUUUAUAUAAGGCUCGCUUUCAGGGAGCUCCGGUUAUCUGGAAAAAGCUUUGGCAGCCUAAUCUUCAUCUUCAGCUCAAACUAUUCAUGUGGAAGAUGGCUAGAGAUAUGCUUCUGCUUGGAGACAAGUUGACAAGUUUAUUUGGAGUGCACUCAAAUUGCGCUGGGUGUGGGUGAACAGAGACCAGCAGGAGCUAUGUGAUAGAGGUCGUGACUAGAGUGCUCCGAAUUGGUUGCUGCCGAGACCAGGGAGAAUUAGAAACUUCUUGGAUUCCUCCUUUAAGAAUUGAGCUACUGCAGCUUGAGUCGUGGCUCGUGGGGGUUCCAGCGAAGUUGUUAUGCUGGAAACAAGCUACUUGUAUGCUCGUUGUCUGUUGGAAGCGGAGCUCAAGGCUUUCAUCAUUGCUCUCCGGAUGGCUGAGAAUCAAGGAUGGGAGGAUGUAGUCUUCAUUUCUGAUUGCCAACAACUGUGUUCUGGCAUCCUGAAUGGUGUCUCCCCGGACUAGAGAUGUGCUCCAACCUUUCUUCGAGUUUUUUCUCAAUUUAAAUGCUUAGAA